rnacentral:rRNA from 1 species
UACGGGGGGGGCAAGCGUUGUUCGGAAUUACUGGGCGUAAAGGGCUCGUAGGCGGCCAACUAAGUCAGACGUGAAAUCCCUCGGCUUAACCGGGGAACUGCGUCUGAUACUGGAUGGCUUGAGGUUGGGAGAGGGAUGCGGAAUUCCAGGUGUAGCGGUGAAAUGCGUAGAUAUCUGGAGGAACACCGGUGGCGAAGGCGGCCAUCUGGACCGUAUCUGACGCUGAGGCGCGAAAGCGUGGGGAGCAAACAGG